rnacentral:rRNA from 1 species
GAUGAACGCUGGCGGCGUGCCUAACACAUGCAAGUCGAACGGAGUAUUAUGAAGUUUUCGGACGGAUUAAUACUUAGUGGCGGACGGGUGAGUAACGCGUGGGUAACCUGCCUCAUACAGGGGGAUAACAGUUGGAAACGACUGCUAAAACCGCAUAAGCAUACACUAUCGCAUGGUAGAGUGUGAAAAUAUUUAUAGGUAUGAGAUGGGCCCGCGUCUGAUUAGCUAGUUGGUAAGGUAACGGCUUACCAAGGCGACGAUCAGUAGCCGGCUUGAGAGAGUGACCGGCCACAUUGGGACUGAGACACGGCCCAAACUCCUACGGGAGGCAGCAGUGGGGAAUAUUGCACAAUGGGCGAAAGCCUGAUGCAGCGACGCCGCGUGAGUGAAGAAGUAUUUCGGUAUGUAAAGCUCUAUCAGCAGGGAAGAAAAUGACGGUACCUGACUAAGAAGCCCCGGCUAACUACGUGCCAGCCGCCGCGGUAA